rnacentral:tRNA from 1 species
CAAAAAGUAGCUUACACUAAAGCGUUCGACCUACACUCGAACAACACUAACACAGUCUUUUUGA